GUCCAGCUGACGAGUCCCAAACAGGACGGAACGCGCGUCCUGGAU
rnacentral:hammerhead_ribozyme from 1 species